rnacentral:rRNA from 1 species
GGGGAUGACGUCAAGUCAGCAUGGCCUUAUAUCCAGGGCUACACACACGCUACAAUGGUCGGUACAAAGCGUUGCCAAGCCGCGAGGCGGAGCUAAUCGCAGCAAAACCGGCCUCAGUUCGGAUAGGAGGCUGCAACCCGCCUCCUUGAAGUCGGAGUUGCUAGUAAACGCCGGUCAGCCAUACGGCGUUGAAUACGUUCCCGGGCCUUGUACACACCGCCCGUCACGUCAUGGGAGCUGGUAACACCUGAAGUCGGUGUGCUAACCCCCCUUCGGGAGGGAGGCAGCUGCCGAGGGUGGGACCGGUGACUGGGACGAAGUCGUAACAAGGUAACUGUACCGGAAGGUGCGGCUGGAACACCUCCAC